rnacentral:rRNA from 1 species
CUACAGAGCGAUUUAGCACGUUGAAAAACCAGUUCUCAAUUGAUCACUAAAGUUAAGCAACGUACAGUAUGGUUAGUAUCCGGAUGUGUGACCAUCUGGGGAUAGCGUGUUGCUUUCUCGG